rnacentral:tRNA from 1 species
GCCUUCGUGGUGUACUGGUCAGCACGCUCGACGCGUAUUCGAGAGAUCCGUGGUUCGAAUCCCGGCGAGGGCG